UACGAAGGGGGCUAGCGUUGUUCGGAAUUACUGGGCGUAAAGCGCACGUAGGCGGCUAUUUAAGUCAGGGGUGAAAUCCCGGGGCUCAACCCCGGAACUGCCUUUGAUACUGGGUAUCUCGAGUCCGAGAGAGGUGAGUGGAAUUCCGAGUGUAGAGGUGAAAUUCGUAGAUAUUCGGAGGAACACCAGUGGCGAAGGCGGCUCACUGGCUCGGUACUGACGCUGAGGUGCGAAAGCGUGGGGAGCAAACAGG
rnacentral:rRNA from 1 species